rnacentral:misc_RNA from 1 species
UCAAACUUGGUCAUUUAGAGGAAGUAAAAGUCGUAACAAGGUCUCCGUUGGUGAACCAGCGGAGGGAUCAUUACUGAGUAUCUUACUCUCUAAACCCAUGUGAACUUACCACUUGUUGCCUCGGCGGCAACGGCCUUGCAGCUUCUCGGAGCUGCGGGGUUUUGGCCGCCGGUGGACAUCUAAACUCUGUUUUAUAGUGUCUCUCUGAGUAACUACAAAAUAAAUUAAAACUUUCAACAACGGAUCUCUUGGUUCUGGCAUCGAUGAAGAACGCAGC